rnacentral:RNase_P_RNA from 1 species
GGGCUUGCCGCGUCGAAGCCCGAAGGGCGUAGACGGGAGGAAAGUCCGGGCUCCACGGAAACACGGUGACGGAUAACAUCCGCCGGGGGUGACCCCAGGGAUAGCGCCACAGAAAUGACACCGCCUAAGACCCUAAAGGUCCGGCAAGGUUGAAAUGGUGCGGUAAGAGCGCACCGCGUCUCUGGCAACAGAGGCGGCAUGGCAAGCCCCACCGGGAGCAAGACCAAAUAGGGACGGCACGUAAUCCGUUUCCGGAUAGCCGUCCGGGUAGGUCGCGCGAGACGGCAGGCGACUGCCGUCCCAGAGGAAUGGCCAUCGCUCCGUCUACGGACGAAGUACAGAACCCGGCUUACAGGCCAUCUGACGCG